rnacentral:rRNA from 1 species
GACGAAGGUGGCGAGCGUUGUUCGGAAUCACUGGGCAUAAAGCGCACGUAGGCGGCGGCGUAAGUCGGGUGUGAAAUCCCUCGGCCUAACCGAGGAACUGCGCCCGAUACUGCGUUGCUUGAGGGUCAGAGGGGUGCAUGGAAUUCCCGGUGGAGCGGUGAAAUGCGUUGAUAUCGGGAGGAACGCCGGUGGCGAAAGGCGGUGCACUGGCUGACUUCUGACGCUGAGGUGGCGAAAGCUAGGGGAGCAAACGGG